GGGGGGGGGGGGGGGCGGGCCGGGCGGGGGCGGGGCGGGCGCCCGUGGGGGGGCGCGGCGUCCGGGGGAGUACCGCGUGGGGAGAUGCCCUUCUCUACGUAAGGGCCUCGGGAACCUGAGAGUAAUACCUUCUACGCCCUUUGGGCGACAGAGUGCGCGGGGCCGGAGUAGCCCGCCUUUGACUCGGUAGUUGGGGGGGUAGUGGCCUACCCAGCCGACCAUCCAUAGCUUGUUUGAGAGGAUGAUCAGCCACACUGGGACUGAGACACGGCCCAGACUCCUACGGGAGGCAGCAGUGGGGAAUCUUAGACAAUGGGGGCAACCCUGAUCUAGCCAUGCCGCGUGAGUGAUGAAGGCCUUAGGGUUGUAAAGCUCUUUAAGCUGGGAAGAUAAUGACGGUACCAGCAGAAGAAGCCCCGGCUAACUCCGUG
rnacentral:rRNA from 1 species